rnacentral:rRNA from 1 species
GGGGGGACCACCCUCCAACCCUAAAUACUACCCAGUGACCGAUAGCGUAUAGUACUGUGAAGGAAAGGUGAAAAGCACCCCGGGAGGGGAGUGAAAAAGAACCUGAAACCCUGUGCCUACAAGCACCUAGAGCACGUCAAUGUGUGAUAGGGUACUUUUUGUAGAACGGUCCGGCGAGCGAUUGUAUGCAGCAAGGUUAAGGACUUAAGGUCUGGAGCCGAAGCGAAAGCGAGUUUGAAAAGGGCGUUAAGUUGCAUAUAAUGGGCCCGAAACCGGGUGACCUACCCAUGGUCAGGUUGAAGUGGAAGUAAAAUUCCAUGGAGGACCGAACCGACCUCCGUUGAAAAGGCGGCGGAUGAACUGUGGGUAGCGGAGAAAUUCCAAUCGAACCCGGAGAUAGCUGGUUCUCCCCGAAAUAGUUUUAGGACUAGCCUCAAGUUAGAUACCUGGAGGUAAAGCACUGAAUAGCCUAGCGGCCGAGAGGUUAGCGAAGCUUAUCAAACUCAGAAUGCCAGAGUAUUGAUGCUUGGGAGUCAGACAGUGUCAGAUAAAUGUCAUUGUCAAAAGGGAAACAGCCCAGAUCUACAGCUAAGGUCCCAAAGUCAGGUUAAGUGGAAAACGAUGUGAAGAUACGCAGACAACCAGGAUGUUGGCUCAGAAGCAGCCACUCAUUCAAAGAGUGCGUAAUAGCUCACUGGUCGAGCGUCUUUGCGCGGAGAAUUUAACGGGGCUAAACCUGACACCGAAGCUUAGGCAAUGUAGUAAUACAUUGGGUAGGGGAGCGUUGUAUACGCGGUGAAACAGUAGCGCAAGCGGCUGUGGAGUGUAUAGAAGUGAGAAUGCCGGAAUGAGUAGCGCGAAUGCAGUGAGAAUCUGCAUGGCCGAAAGCCUCAGGUUUCUGGAGGAAGGUUCGUCCGCUCCAGGUUAGUCGGGAGCUAAGGUGAGGCCGGAAGGCGUAGCCGAUGCACAGACGGUAGAGAUUCCGUCACCACCAAAAGAGUUAAGCACAGGGACACAUUUGAAGUCUCAGAGCCGGGUGUUGGUUCCGGUAGAGAUCGAGGGAAGUUAGUACCGAAGUCUGGGAUGGAAGAUGGCGAGAAAAGCUGUGUGUAUUUCUGAGGUGCCCGUACCGCAAACCGACACAGGUAGGUAGGAAGAAGAUUCUAAGGCCAACGGGAGAAGGGUUGUUAAGGAACUCGGCAAAUUGACCCCGUAACUUCGGGAGAAGGGGUGCUCCAGAGAUGGAGCCGCAGAGAAUCGGCCCAAGCAACUGUUUACCAAAAACACAGGUUUGUGCUAAAUCGAAAGAUGACGUAUACGAGCUGACGCCUGCCCGGUGCUGGAAGGUUAAGAGGAGAUGUGCAAGCAUUGAAUCGAAGCCCCAGUGAACGGCGGCCGUAACUAUAACGGUCCUAAGGUAGCGAAAUUCCUUGUCAGGUAAGUUCUGACCCG